rnacentral:rRNA from 1 species
UACGGGGGGGGCAAGCGUUGUUCGGAAUUACUGGGCGUAAAGGGCUCGUAGGCGGCCAACUAAGUCGGACGUGAAAUCCCUCGGCUUAACCGGGGAACUGCGUCUGAUACUGGAUGGCUUGAGUUUGGGAGAGGGAUGCGGAAUUCCAGGUGUAGCGGUGAAAUGCGUAGAUAUCUGGAGGAACACCGGUGGCGAAGGCGGCAUCCUGGACCAACACUGACGCUGAGGAGCGAAAGUGUGGGGAGCGAACAGG